GACGAACGCUGGCGGCGUGCCUAAUACAUGCAAGUCGAACGCAUUUUCUUUCACCGUAGCUUGCUACACCGAAAGAAAAUGAGUGGCGAACGGGUGAGUAACACGUGGGUAACCUGCCCAUCAGCGGGGGAUAACACUUGGAAACAGGUGCUAAUACCGCAUAAUUCCAUUUACCGCAUGGUAGAUGGGUGAAAGGCGCUUUUGCGUCACUGAUGGAUGGACCCGCGGUGCAUUAGCUAGUUGGUGGGGUAACGGCCUACCAAGGCUGCGAUGCAUAGCCGACCUGAGAGGGUGAUCGGCCACACUGGGACUGAGACACGGCCCAGACUCCUACGGGAGGCAGCAGUAGGGAAUCUUCGGCAAUGGACGCAAGUCUGACCGAGCAACGCCGCGUGAGUGAAGAAGGGUUUCGGAUCGUAAAACUCUGUUGUUAGAGAAGAACAAGGAUGAGAGUGGAAAGUUCAUCCCUUGACGGUAUCUAACCAGAAAGCCACGGCUAACUACGUG
rnacentral:rRNA from 1 species